AGAAGAAGAAGAAGACACUUUCCCUUCAUCGGAUCAUUGUUUAAAUCACAAGGACAGAGAGUUACAGAGUAUGAACCCUUGGACAUGCAGGUACCUCCUGGCAGGCAACUCUCAACAAGAAGCAGCAGCAGUGGAUUGACCAGACGCUGUUUACCAGUAGCUGCCUACAGAGCUCACAGUUCAUCACUGUCCUUUCCCUGGUGGGGUGAAGACCAGAAGAGGGUGAUGUCCUUCCUGUCUUCAAGGCCUGCCUCAGAAAGUGCUGGGUACCCAACCAGGAGCUGCCUACAGAGCUCCCAGUUCAUCACUGUCCUUUCCCUGGUGGGGUGAAGACCAGAAGAGGGUGAUGUCCUUCCUGUCUCCAAGGCCUGCCUCAGAAUGUGCUGAGUCUCCUCUACUCUGACUGAGAAAAGGCCUCCUCAACUGAAGAAUCUACAGCUGCUGAGUCUGAGGUGUUAAUCAGUCCAGUGCUGCUCUGACCACAGUGUUGUUAGGAACCACAUUUUCUAAUGCUACAUACACAGCCUUGUGUCAACUCUUACUGUGAACUACUUCAGUUACUGGAAAUAAACUCAGCAGUGAUCAGACUACAGAAUACACCAAGUUGUACACAUCUUCCUCCAUUUCAUUCAGUUGUACACAUCUUCCUCCAUUUCAUUCAGUUGUACACAUCUUCCUCCAUUUCAUUCAGUUGGACACAUCUUCAUCCAUUUCAUUCAGUUGUAAACAUCUUCCUCCAUUUCAUUCAGUUGAACACAUCUUCCUCCAUUCCAUUCAGUUGGACACAUCUUCCUCCAUUUCAUUCAGUUGGACACAUCUUCCUCCAUUUCAUUCAGUUGGACACAUCUUCCUCCAUUUCAUUCAGUUGUAAACAUCUUCCUCCAUUUCAUUCAGUUGUAAACAUCUUCCUCCAUUUCAUUCAGUUGUAAACAUCUUCCUCCAUUUCAUUCAGUUGUAAACAUCUUCCUCCAUUUCAUUCAGUUGGACACAUCUUCCUCCGUUUCAUUCAGUUGUAAACAUCUUCCUCCAUUUCAUUCAGUUGGACACAUCUUCCUCCGUUUCAUUCAGUUGUACACAUCUUCCUCCAUUUCAUUCAGUUGUAAACAUAUCUGUAAUGUAUGUGAGGCCUUUGAGACAUCAUACUAAAUAUGUUGACUAGCUGGUCAUGGGAAAUGCAAGUGUUACUUCUUUGAGUUUUUGAGUCAGAGUCGCUAAGCCUUGUGGGAUAUUAAUGAAUGUGAACUCAGCAACCGUAAUUCCAGAACAGUCCCUCUGUUGUAAUAGUGUGAUGUGUAUCUUCUGACAGACUCUAUGCUGAGUAAAGUCAUGUUUUCAUCCUAAAACGUUUUUCUACCAGCACCAAAGUGUGGAUGCAGUCACUAUUUAGAGCAGUCUAAUCUCAUUAACCCAGAACUAUAAUAUUGUGUGAUUCAGUUCUGGGUCCAUACCUGUUAGAAACUACAGGAGGUGAGUCACAUGUUAUUAGUUACAGCAGUUUCCAUGGAAACAUACAGAGGGUUUUAUGCAAAUCAACCCUUUCUGACUUGACAUCUGAAGGAGGAGUCUCUGAAAACCUAUUUAAAGCAGUCUGUCCUGACUCAGCUCAGCAGUCUCCAGUCUACCAACUGGUCUCUGUAAUAACUAUUUAAAGCAGUCUGUCCUGACUCAGCUCAACAGUCUCCAGUCUACCAACUGGUCUCUGUAACUUCAUCUUUGUCUCUGUGGUGUUCAGUCUUCAGGUGACGAUGGGGUAUUGAAUCAUCUCUCUACUCUCCUCCUUCUCUC